AUGGCUCAUUAAAUCAGUUAUGAUCUACGUGACAUUUCUUUACUACUUGGAUAACCGUGGUAAUUCUAGAGCUAAUACAUGCAAAAAAGCCCUGACUUCGGAAGGGGUGCACUUAUUAGAUAAAGCCAACGCUGGGUAAAACCAGUUUCCCUUGGUGAUUCAUAAUAAUUAAGCGGAUCGCAUGGCCUUGUGCUGGCGACGGUCCACUCGAUUUUCUGCCCUAUCAUGGUUGAGAUUGUAAGAUAGAGGCUUACAAUGCCUACAACGGGUAACGGGGAAUUAGGGUUCGAUUCCGGAGAGGGAGCCUGAGAAACGGCUACCACAUCCAAGGAAGGCAGCAGGCGCGCAAAUUACCCAAUACCGACAUGGUGAGGUAGUGACAAUAAAUAACAAUGCAGGGCCUUUAAGGUCUUGCAAUUGGAAUGAGUACAAUUUAAAUCCCUUAACGAGGAUCAAUUGGAGGGCAAGUCUGGUGCCAGCAGCCGCGGUAAUUCCAGCUCCAAUAGCGUAUAUUAAAGUUGUUGCAGUUAAAACGUCCGUAGUCAAACUUUAGCCUUUAGGCGAGGUGGCCUGGUCUUCAUUGAUCAAGCUCGCUUCUGCCGAGGCUUUUGUAUUUGGUUAUGCUAUGGGUGGCUUCGGUCGCCUAUAGUCUCUAGCCAAAUGAUUACCAUGAGCAAAUCAGAGUGUUUAAAGCAGGCUUUCAAGCUUGAAUGUGUUAGCAUGGAAUAAUGAAAUAUGACUCUAGUCCCUAUUUCGUUGGUUCAGGAACUUGAGUAAUGAUGAAUAGAAACGGUUGGGGGCAUUUGUAUUUGGUCGCUAGAGGUGAAAUUCUUGGAUUGACCGAAGACAAACUACUGCGAAAGCAUUUGACCCAGGACGUUUUCAUUGAUCAAGGUCUAAAGUUAAGGGAUCGAAGACGAUUAGAUACCGUCGUAGUCUUAACCACAAACUAUGCCGACUAGAGAUUGGGCCUGUUUAUUAUGACUGGCUCAGCAUCUUAGCGAA
rnacentral:rRNA from 1 species